GAUGAAGAACGCAGCGAAAUGCGAUAAGUAAUGUGAAUUGCAGAAUUCAGUGAAUCAUCGAAUCUUUGAACGCACAUUGCGCCCGCCAGUAUUCUGGCGGGCAUGCCUGUUCGAGCGUCAUUACAACCCUCAGGCCCCCGGGCCUGGCGUUGGGGAUCGGCGGAGCCCCCCGUGGGCACACGCCGUCCCCCAAAUGCAGUGGCGGUCCCGCCGCAGCUUCCAUCGCGUAGUAGCUAACACCUCGCGACUGGAGAGCGGCGCGGCCACGCCGUAAAACACCCAACUCUUCUGAAGUUGACCUCGAAUCAGGUAGGAAUACCCGCUGAACUAAGCAUAUCAAUAAGCGGAGGA
rnacentral:misc_RNA from 1 species